CCAUUUAUUUUUUUUACUUAUUAAGAGAAUAAGGUAUUCGUAGGGAAAGGUGAACGAUUCGGUGUAUCAUUUCUUGGUCUACGUUUUGUAUAAAGUAUCUAUUUGAUUAUCUAAAUUGACGAAAGAGAGAGGGAUCUUGUUAAGUUGUGAAUUGGAGUGUGUAUUAAUAGUUUUAAUAAAGGCAGGGAUGCAUUAUGAGCGGGGAAUUUCCCAGUGGUCCUGGAGGAGCGAAUAAUAAUAGCAAUACUAAUAAUAGUAGUAAAAGUCCAGCAUUCGUCGACGCAUUACAAAGAGCAAGACAGAUUGCUUCAAAAAUUAAACCCAACGAAGUCGGUGCCAUAGGAGGCGUAAAGAGACCUAUUGAAGAUUCCGGAGAAGGUCCCGGAAGUAAAAAACCUGCUGCAGAUAUAUUCACAACAUCACAAAUUAUGGAGGCAAGUGUUGUACAUGCUGUAGCUGAUCCAUCAGUUAUUCCUGAAGUGCCUGCUGCUGCUGGAGCACCAGCUGUUACAGGAGUAACUGAGUCAAUAUCUGUUCCUGAUAAGAUGGUUGGGCUUAUAAUUGGUCGGGGUGGCGAACAAAUCACUCGAUUGCAGUCUGAAUCAGGAUGUAAAAUUCAAAUGGCCCAAGAUUCUCAAGGAAUGCCGGAACGUCAAUGUACUCUAACUGGAUCUCCUCAAGCUAUUUCUCAAGCAAAAUUAGCGAUAGAUAGAAUUAUAGCAAAUGAAGGCAACGGACCUACUCGUGGUACUCCAAGUAUGGGCAAUUCAGGUUUUUAUGAAGUUAACGUACCAGGACAGAAAGUUGGGUUGAUCAUCGGUAAAAACGGUGAAACUAUUAAAAGUCUACAAGAGCAAUCCGGAGCCAAGAUAGUUAUUAUUCAAGAUGGACCAGAAGCUGCAUUAGAAAAGCCAUUAAGGAUAACAGGAGCUCAAGAGAAUGUUGAAAUAGCUAAACAACUAGUAGCAGAAAUUUUAAGCCAAGACCACGGAGACCAAGGAGCUAUGGGUGGCUUUGCCAAUCGUGGACGUGGUAGAGGACGUGGCAGAGGUGGAUUUCCUAUGAGAGGAAGUCGUGGAGGUGGAAGAGGCGGCUUUGGUGCAAAUCAAUGGGGACCUCCCUCUGAAUAUGGUGGUCAGCAACAGCACACAACGACUGAUUAUCUCGCCAUUCCCACAAAUAAGUGUGGGCUUGUUAUUGGCAAAGGUGGAGAAACCAUCAAAAAUAUAAAUCAGACAUCAGGUGCACAUUGUGAAGUCGACAAAAAUGCUCCUCCCGAUGCACGUGAAAAGAAUUUUGUAAUUCGUGGAACCCCUGACGCUGUUGAACGUGCUAAACAAAUGAUAAUGGAAAAAGUUGGAAUGAAUGGAUCCAAUGGAGGUUAUAGUAAUGGUUACGGUCAAAGUGGAGGAGCUGGAGGUUGGGGUGCCCCUUCUUCUACCGCUAGCCAGUACCAUGCAGGAGGUUAUCAAGAUCAACCUUCCAGUGGAGGUGCAGUUAGUUCCACUGCAAACCAGCCUGAUUAUUCUUCUCAAUGGGCUGAAUAUUAUAGAAGUAUUGGUUGCAUACGCGAGGCUGUAGCUAUUGAAAAGCAUAUUGGCACGAAUAAUCGGGUAUCUAAUGGCAUGCCUGCUUCCCCGGCAGUUGCUCCAGCUGCUAAUGGUGCCCCAGUACCUGGUGGAAAUGCAGACUAUUCAGCGGAAUGGGCUGAAUAUUAUAGAGUUUUAGGAAAGGUAAAAGAAGCUGAAGCUAUUGAAAUGCAAAUGAAAAACAAAGCUGUAGUUGCGGGUGGUGCAGCCCCAGCUCCAACUGGUGGUCAGGCGUAUCCUGCCCAAUAUGCCGGCUAUUAUGGAGCAGUGGGAGGUCAACAAGCUCCAACUGCCGCUCCCGUGUAUGCAGCGCCAACUGGAUAUCCUGCUUAUCCACCAUACGGUGGUGCACAGCAUGGCGCGGAGUCUUAAUUCAUUCGUUUUUAGAAACACGGUGAGUUAUGAUAGGCAAAUUUACAGUUCAUUACAUCUCUUAGGAAAUACCUCUCUUCAAUUAAGGAUUAUUUCAAAAUACUAUGUUGAUGUGAGUGUAUUAAAACAGAAAGCCCAGUAUUCCAUUUUUUUUCUUUAUUUUGUUAGUGUUUAUUCUUCACUUAAAGCUACGCAGCAGAAUCAAUAAUACAUUGUUAAUUUUAACUUUUCCCUUCCUUUUUUUUCAUUCCCUGACGCACGUUUGGGAUUUCAAGCUAAUAUUUCUCAAGUUAAAUUUGAGAAGCAAUUUUCUCUGUACAUGUUCUCAGUGAAAAUGUAAUAAUGAUUAAAGUAGUAGUAUAUUAUACUGUUUUCUAUAAAUACUUAGCUUUUUAUAAAGAUAAGAAAAGUGUAAAACCUUUCAAAAGAAAGAAAAAAUAGUGGGCAUCUCCUUCGUUGUUCCAAUGAUUGACAGGUUUCUACGAAUUAUAUUAAAAUUAGCGCAGAAAAGAGCUUUAUUCAUCGCGGGCUCUUAUUUCAGAUUUAUUCCCAAUGUUGUACUGUAAAAAACGAAAACACGUCUUUAUGUAUUUACUCUUACUAUGUAUAUGUUUAAAAAAUUAUAAAAAAAAAUUCUUUUUUUCGAUUUUUUCCAA
rnacentral:misc_RNA from 1 species